rnacentral:rRNA from 1 species
UUCACAGGUGCUGCAUGGCUGUCGUCAGCUCGUGUCGUGAGAUGUCCGGUUAAGUCCGGUAACGAGCGCAACCCUCGCUGUGUGUUAUAUGUGUCACACGGGACUGCCGGUAUCAAGCCGGAGGAAGGUGGGAUGACGUCAAGUCAGCAUGGCCUUUAUGUCUGGGGCUACACACACGCUACAAUGGCCAGUACAAUAGGUUGCAAGACCGCGAGGUGGAACCAAUCCUUAAAGCUGGUCUCAGUUCGGAUUGCAGGCUGCAACUCGCCUGCAUGAAGUCGGAGUUGCUAGUAACCGCGCGUCAGCCAUAGUGCGGUCGAAUACGUUCCCGGGCCUU